GGAUUAGAUACCCUGGUAGUCCACGCCGUAAACUAUCAAUACUCGUUUUCGGCGAUAUACAGUCGGAGACCAAGCGAAAGUGAUAAGUAUUGCACCUGGGGAGUACGAUCGCAAGGUUGAAACUCAAAGGAAUUGACGGGGGCCCGCACAAGCGGUGGAGCAUGUGGUUUAAUUCGAUGAUACGCGAGGAACCUUACCAGGGCUUAAAUGUAGAAUGACCGAUCUGGAAACAGAUCUUUCUUCGGACAGUCUACAAGGUGCUGCAUGGCUGUCGUCAGCUCGUGCCG
rnacentral:rRNA from 1 species